UUUUGUGUGUAUUGAAUUCUUGAUUGGAAUUUUUGUUUUUUCAUUUAGGGAUUUGAAUAUAUUGUACAACAGGGUUCUGCUAAACUUCUAAAACCAGGAGAGAUCAUUUAAGGCCCUAGAUAGUAGCAGAGUUGUUUCUGGGUGACCUACUUCCUUUUAAAUAAAUAACAUUAUCUUCAUUUUUUGUUUUUUGCCUUCUCUCCCCACUGUUUAUAUGCUUUAUUCCCUUUUUUUCCCGGUGAUAUUGUUCAGAGUGAAGCACCUAAGAGGUCCAAAUCCUUGUUGGUAUGUGAUAAAUGAGCAUGAGGCAAUUAACAUGCUGCCCUUAUAAGCCAAAUAGACAAAUCAAAGUUGUUUAUUACAUAUGAGGUAUUCAUGACUAGCAUAGAGGGGAAAAUACUUUCUAUGAUGCCAAUAAGUUAUGU
rnacentral:lncRNA from 1 species